rnacentral:lncRNA from 1 species
GCCUUAGUGGGCACCUCCACGGUGACCGGAGUGUGCGAGCCCUUCUACCAACCGCUCGACGAGCCCGCCAUGGAGGUGACCGUCCAAACGCAAUCUGUGGGCACCACCGCUGGAACAAGCGGCCUUUCACGUGAAGGUAAGCUUUUGCUCUUCCCUGUUGCCUUCCCGUUUGUGGAAUCUGUUUCGUAUAUAAGGAACGCAAACUAUUUCUACUCUAACCGUUGAGUGAAUGUACCCUCUAUAACCAAUAUAGGAGCACUGCAGCAGCCAGGAGU